GGGACUAUAGUUAAUAAUAACAUUUGAGUUGCAUUCAAAAGGUGCUACCCACAGUAGUUAGUCUCA
rnacentral:tRNA from 1 species